AAUAUUCAAAAACUAUCCAUUACUCUUUAUUACAAAGAAAACAAAGAGAACAAAGAAGUAGCACCAAGCUUACUUUGGCUCAUGACUAUCACAGUCUAACUUCUCCAAUAUCUUCUUUAAUUUACUUAUGUUUUAUUUUUGAAAUUCUAGAUUCUAACCAUUAUUUUUUAUUUAACUAUUUUUUACACUAAUUCAAUCAUCCAACCUACUGAAUUGACAAUCCUAGGACUGAUUAAUCUACUUUAUUCAUAUCUUACAAAAACAAAAUUAUCCAUUCUACAUAGCUCAAUUCUUAACUAAACAGUGUCUUUCUAAACAUAGAAUUGAUACAUAUUUUUUUUAAAAAAAAAACUACUUAACAAAAUUCUACAAAAUUAUUAUUCCUCUAGUCCAUCCAAUUGUUCAACUUCCGCAUUAUCCAUUGUUGGUUCUACCAAUUUUGGUCUCAAAUACAAACCUUUAUCUU
rnacentral:lncRNA from 1 species